AUAAAUCUAGAAGGUCUUAAAGACCUUUCUAACAUCUUGUGAAUUGUUUAUGUCUCUAGUGUAUCAACGUACACUGGAUAAACUUUGUAUUAAUAUUUGUCUUUAAAAAUUUAUAAAAGUAAUUAAAA
rnacentral:misc_RNA from 1 species